CUUCCUGCAGCAACUCUUGAACAAAGAGCUCUUGAAUUGUCCCGCUGAUAUGCCACAGCAGUUCAGUGUACUUGGCCACUUGAAACCAGAUCAGACCUCCAAUGGGCAAGUGAGCCAGUUACUGUUUUCCGAGUAGCAGUAAUGACAAUGGAGGCGGAGGACGAUGGAUAGCAGCAGUGGCGACGGAAGGGGUGGACUAGAACAGCAGAAACUGCAUCAGAUAGGCACAGGCAGAAUGCAUCCCCAGAACGGCAGAGGGUCACUGUUUGGGAAAAGAACCCUGGAAACAACUGCUUUCACCACACCUCAAACACUGUAUCCUGCAAACGACUGAGCAUGGAAACAAAGGGCUCUUGAAGAAAAGGUUGCAGACGAAACACUAAUAUUCUAUAUAAAGCUUUUGAUUUCAAUGUCCACAAUUGUUUAAAAAAAUAGUUAUAAGGUUAGUGUAAUACAGAUUAACUGUUCACAGCUGAGAAAUCAGAUAAAAGAAAGAAGACUAUUUUGAAUCUUGGGUGAUAUAAUAAACUCUGAACCAAAGUCUU